GUGAUGUAGAUAUCCAGUGGAAUUAGCCUCCAUUGGCUUUGUCUUUGUGGCACAUGGGAACCUAAAGUCAUUUGACAUGCAGUAAAUUCCUAGCCAUGACAUCAUAUAAUAAAACUACCCCAGAUAUUUAUAUCUGUUUGGUGUAGUACUUUGCAUAUUCCUUGUGUCUCCUAUAGUUAUUAUGUAACAAUAACUAGGAGGAUAAACCAUGCAAUGAAUAUUU